rnacentral:rRNA from 1 species
CUUGGUGCCUAGCAGCCGCGCGUAAUAUUCCAGCUUCAAUGCGUAUAUUAAGUGUGUUGCCAGUUAAAGCGUCGUAGUGGAUCUGGGUAUAGGCUGGCUGUCCAUCAGCGAUGCUUACGCCUGUCCUGGCCUUUUACUCCCGGUCUAUCUUUGUUGACUUUGGACUGAGCCUGACUCGGUUGGCGGACGUUUACUUUGAAAAAUUAGAGUUUCAAAGACAGGCUUUUUGCCCUGAAUAAUGGUGCAUGAAUAAUGAAAGGACNUCGAAUAACUUGCGCUGAUCGCACGGUCUCGCCCACCGGCGACGUAUACUUUUCAAAUGUCUGCCUUAGCAAACUUUCGCAUGGCGUAGAUUUAUGUGCCACCAUGGUCGUAACGGUUAACGGGGAAUCAGGUGUCGAUUCACGAGAGGGAGCAUGAGAAAACGGCGUACCACAUGCCAAGGAAUGCAGCAGGCCACGGCGAAACUUACCCAUUCCCGGCACGGGGAGCGUAUGACCGAUAAAUAACAAUACGGCGGACUCUUUCGAGGACCCCGUAAUUCGGAAUGAGUACACUUUAAUCCUUUAACGGAUCUAUUGGCAGGGCAAAGUCUGCGGUUGCAGCAGCGCGCGCGAAUUCCAGCUUCAAUAGACCGUAUAUGAAAGUGUUGCACGUUAAAAAGCUCGUAUUUGGAUCUGGGCUUAGGGCUGGUGGCCAUCUAGCGAUGGAUACUGCCUGUCCCUGGCCUUUACCUCCCGGUCUAUCUUUGUUGCUCUGGACUGAGUGACUCGGGUUGCACGCGAACGUUUACUUUAAAAAAAUUAGACGCUGUCAAUAGCGAGCUUUUGCCUGAAUAAUGCGUGCAUGAAUAAUGGAAUAGGACCUUCGCGCUUCUAUUUUGUUGCGUUUCGAAACAGAGAAAUGAUAAGCGAGCGAACAGACGCGGGGCAUUCGUACUGCGCCCCUGCUUAAGAGUGAAAUUCUUGGAUCGUAGACCAAGACGAACAAAACAGCCGAAAGCAUUGUGCCAAGAAUCUUUCAUUAAUCAAGAACGAAACGUCAGAGGUUCGAAGGUGAUCAGAUACCGCCCUAGUUCUGACCAUACAACGAUAUUUCCACACUAGCGAUCCGCCGCGAGUUACUACAAUGACUUGGCCGGGCAGCUACCGGAAACCAAAGCUUUGGGCUUCGCGGGAAUUGGUUGCCAAAGCGAAACUUAAGGAAUUGACGGAAGGGCCACCACCAGAGUAGGGAGCCUGCGGACUUAAUUUGAAACUCAACACGGGAAAUCCACCCGGCUCCGCACACUGUAAGGAUUGACAGAUUGCAGAGCUCUUUCUUGAUUUCGAUCGUGGUGUGGUGCAUGCGCCGCGUUCUUAGUUGGUGAGCGAUUGGGUCUGGUUAUUCCGAAUAACGAACCGAGACUCUGGCCUACUAAAUAGUAGCCGAUUCCGUCGGUCGGCCUGGCCACUUCUUAGAGCGGACAAGGGGGCUAGCCGCACGAGAUUGAGCAAUAACAGGUCUUGUGAUGCCCUUAGAUGUCGGGGCUGCACGCGCGCUACACUGAAGGAAUCAGCGCCGUGCAUUUUGCCUUGUCUGGAGACCUGAUAACCCGAUGAACCUCCUUCGUGCAGGGAUAGCGGAAUUGCAGAUUAUUUCCCUUGAACGAGGAAUUCCCAGUUAAGGCGCGAGUCAUAAGCUCGUGUUGAUCACGUCCCUGCCCUUGUACAACACCGCCCCGGCCGCUACUACGAUUGAAAUCCAUUUAGUGUAGGUCUUCGGACCGUCCCGGCGAGAGGGCACACCCUCGCAUCGGGUGUGCUGGGAAGAUGAACCAAACUUAUCAUUUAGAGGAAGUAAAAGGUUCGCUAACAAGCGCU